CACUCUAAGGAGACUGCCGGUGACAAACCGGAGGAAGGUGGGAUGACGUCAAGUCAUCAUGGCCCUUACGGCCUGGGCUACACACGUGCUACAAUGGUCGGUACAAAGGGUUGCCAAGCCGCGAGGUGGAGCUAAUCCCAUAAAACCGAUCGUAGUCCGGAUCGCAGUCUGCAACUCGACUGCGUGAAGUCGGAAUCGCUAGUAAUCGUGAAUCAGAAUGUCACGGUGAAUACGUUCCCGGGCCUU
rnacentral:rRNA from 1 species